UAGGUACUAGUAAAAAUUACACAACUUUGUCAAAGUUAAGUUAUAGGUUAAACCCCUAUAUACCUCU
rnacentral:tRNA from 1 species